rnacentral:rRNA from 1 species
GACAGAUGUCCCAAGCGUUAGGCGGAAUCACUGGGCUUAAAGCGUGUGUAGGCGGACUUCUAAGUACCUUGUGAAAUCCCACGGCUCAACCGUGGAACUGCUUGGUAUACUGGUUGUCUUGGGCCAUCUAGGGGCUAGCGGAACAAACGGUGGAGCGGUGAAAUGCGUAGAUAUGACCCGGAACACCGAUUGCGAAGGCAGCCCGCUAAGCAACUAUUGACGCUGAGGCACGAAAGCGUGGGGAUCAAACAGG